rnacentral:tRNA from 1 species
GUUUAUGUAGUUUAUAUAAAACAUUACACUUUCAUUGUAAAAAUAUUAAUUCUAAUCAUAAAUU